rnacentral:rRNA from 1 species
ACUCAAAGGAAUAGACGGGGGCCCGCACAAGCGGUGGAGCAUGUGGUUUAAUUCGAUGCAACGCGAAGAACCUUACCUACUCUUGACAUCCUUCGAAGCCUGCAGAGAUGCGGGUGUGCCGAAAGGAACGGAGUGACAGGUGCUGCAUGGCUGUCGUCAGCUCGUGUCGUGAGAUGUUGGGUUAAGUCCCGUAACGAGCGCAACCCCUGUCCUUAGUUACCAACAGGUUAUGCUGGGGACUCUAAGGAGACCGCCGGUGACAAACCGGAGGAAGGUGGGGAUGACGUCAAGUCAUCAUGGCCUUUAUGAGUAGGGCCACACACGUGCUACAAUGGACGGUACAGAGGGUCGCCAACCCGCGAGGGGGAGCUAAUCUCAAAAAACCGUUCGUAGUCCGGAUUGAAGUCUGCAACUCGACUUCAUGAAGUUGGAAUCGCUAGUAAUCGCAAAUCAGAACGUUGCGGUGAAUACGUUCCCGGGCCUUGUACACACCGCCCGU